rnacentral:rRNA from 1 species
GAUGAACGCUAGCGGCAGGCCUAAUACAUGCAAGUCGGACGGGAUUCAGGAGCCUGCUUCUGAUGAGAGUGGCGCACGGGUGCGUAACACGUAUGUAACCUACCUUUAUCAGGGGGAUAGCCUCUCGAAAGAGAGAUUAAGCCCGCAUAAAAUCACAGCACAGCAUUGUGUAAUGAUCAAAUAUUUAUAGGAUAAAGAUGGGCAUGCGGAACAUUAGCUAGAUGGCGGGGUAACGGCCCACCAUGGCGACGAUGUUUAGGGGAUCUGAGAGGAUGGCCCCCCACACUGGUACUGAGACACGGACCAGACUCCUACGGGAGGCAGCAGUAAGGAAUAGUGGUCAAUGGGCGGAAGCCUGAACCAGCCAUGCCGCGUGCAGGAAGACGGCCCUACGGGUUGUAAACUGCUUUUAUACGGGAAUAAACCCAGAUACGUGUAUCUGGCUGAAUGUACUGUAAGAAUAAGGAUCGGCUAACUCCGUG